AUCUGGCAGUUCUAGAUUCCACCUGCAGUCCAAAGACAUACAGUGAGGCUGAUGGGUAUGUCCAAAGUGCCUGGAGGGUGGUUUGCCCCAUGAUGGUCCCGGGUGAACCCAGCUUUGUGCCCUGUGUUGCCUGAUAGACUCUAGUCCAGUCUGUAGUGCUGCACUGUAUUCCGUGGUAGGAAGGAAGAAGUGGGGUUUGGUUAGGCUUCAGAAAUAUUGCAUAGAGGUUAUAAAAAAACGCAGCCUUGCACAGAUGGCACAGAAGGGUGCAGGGGCAUGUCAGAUGAGCCGUGGUACCUCCUCAAUGCCAGUUCUAGUGACCAGUUAUCAAGCCCAGUCAAGCGGGCAGAGAGGAAAUUAUUCUUAUUCCUCCAUAAAAGUUGGUGCUCUCCUCCAUGCAUGGAUGGAUGGAUGAUUGCAGGAGCCCGACCAUGACCUGUAGCAGCAGCGUUUGUCACCACUCAAAUCACACGUUUGCCUGUGGCCCCCUGUUGGCCAGAAGCAGUUACUACACUAAAUAUUAUGUAUACACAUUCCAUCCAUCCAUCCAUCCAUUUUCCAAACCGCUUAUCCUACUGGGUCGCGGGAGGUCCGGAGCCUAUCCCGGAAGCAAUGGGCACGAGGCUGGGAACAACCCAGGAUGGGGGGCCAGCCCAUCGCAGGGCACACUCACACACCAUGCACUCUCACAUGCAUUCCUAUGGGCAAUUUAGCAAGUGCAGUUAGCCUCAGCAUGUUUUUGGACUAUGGGGGGAAACCGGAGUACCCGGAGGAAACCCCACGGCGACAUGGGGAGAACAUGCAUGGCUCUCAGCGGAGGCGGUCGCACUUCUCUCCCUCUCCCUCCCCUUAUCUUCCCUGCUUCGCUCCUCUCGUCUCGUCUAGUCUACUGUCUUAUACUUGAGAGACUCUCUCAGCCCUGCUCUCCAAACUACGUAAAACGAUGGAUUUGAUCAGCUGGUCUCUCAACGCAAUUGACACCAUCUUCUCGAUGAGAAGCCUAGGUUCGGGGGAACCUGUCUGGCAGGAACGUAUGCUGCUGGCUACACGAUGGACGGAUGGGAGCGGUGGAGGGUCGUGUGCCUGGCAGCUCUUUCCGUGGAGGACAUUGAAGACAUCUACCUAUUCGGAACCAUGAUUACAGGCCUGGGGGCUGAAGCUAAUUCAGUGGUAAAGACAUGAGCUCGUCUCUUGGAGGUCGACGUGAGGAGGUCUGCACUGGAAAAGACCACACUGAGACCAAACAGCUGUCUCCCUUCCUCCAUCUCUGAGCUACAGGAUGGUAUGUGUCACCUAACCUCUGCACACUGCACGCAGUGAUUUGCAGUGAUUUGCAUAUGCCAUAGGAUGCUUGGCCCUUUGCCUCCUUCCUGAUCCAAACUUCUAGGGUCUCCAUGGGUAACCAGCAUCCUGAUGCCAUGAAGAGGGUGUUGAGGAAGAGGAGAAGCUUCAUGGUGUAGUAAUACCAGCCACAUUUAAAUCAAC